rnacentral:lncRNA from 1 species
UCCGAGGAGAGGAGCUCGGGCCGGCCGCUCGCGGCCUGCUCAGUGUCACGACGUUUCCAGAUCCGGCGUGCCGGUCCUCCCCUGCCUGCGCGUUGUGCCCCGGAGGUCCCUUGGAAAUGGAUGCUAAUUGCCGGGGCCGCGCUGCCGCGAUUGCCCCAGAGCCGCCGGCCCCGCUCCUCAGCGCCUUAAUUGACAGCGACGGGGCCGUCGUUAGGAGCAGCUGGUGCGGGGCGCUGGCACAUCGGCGCAAUCUGAGCGCAGCAGUCCUAGCCCGGAGGAGGGUGAGGGUAAACGUGGUUAAAAUGAAGGAAGAUUUAUGGUCGGCCCCCUCGGGUAACGCGACAGAAGACAGCCACCAAGAUUUUCCCUGGAACAAUGCCAACAUUGAAGCCCUCGGUUGGAGUCUGCACAGUUGGAGAUCUUUGGUGCCAUUUUAGACAUCUUUGGAUUUCAUCAAUCAAACUGACUGCAAUUUUCCAUAAAAACCCUGAAUUUGGGUCAGAAAGUGGGCAAAGCAGAUAAAGAUCGCUCGAGCUGUCUUAUAAGAUGAUAAAUAGCAUCCCUAAGGCAUCAGCCGUUCGGGGAGGACAUCCUCCCGGCGUCGCUCUGGGCGCUCAGGUUAAGGAAAGUGAGGCACGGAGCCGCUUCCCACCACUACUGCACAUCUCCUGCUGCGGGCGGCCCGGUCCCGGUCCCGGUCCCCGGAGCGAGGAGAAGGGAGGUGAGAACGAGCUUUGCUCCCCUCCCGUCUCGAAAGCCGCAGCCCGCUGAGAGCUGAGCUGAUGGAUCGUGGCCCGCGCGGCGCAGGUGCUUCCCGUCGUAGGAUAAAGGCCGCUGCUGGGAUCAGUCGCGUUUGUGAGCUUAGCCGGCUUCCAUCGAACCAACCCGCAUCCCAGCGCCGGGCACUGCAGCCCCGGGCCCCGUUCAGGCAGCUGCGGGUCUGCGGGCAGCGGGACCGGAGCGGCCCCCACACAACCAUCGGGCAUCAGAGCGUGCGAGCAGGGAGCGCAUUUCUUCUGUGCCCCCUCGCUCGUGGCCAGAAGUGAAACCCUGGGACUCCAAUCUGCGCUCCGUGGUUUCUUCCCCUCCCCCUUCCCCCCUUUUUUUCCUCAUUUUUUUCUCAUUUUUUUUUCCAUUUUCUACUUCUUUUUCCUUUUUCCCUUUUCCCCCUUUUUCAUUUUCAUUUCCUCCCCUUUUUAUUAUUACUAUUAUCACUUUCUCUCUUCUUUCAGUCUCUCAGGCGUACGCUUAAGGGCCCCGUUCCCAGCUCCAGCGCUGUGCAGACACACCCGUCCCUUUCCCGUGCCAGCGGCUCUCCCAUCGCUGCCACCCACGAGCGGUGCCCCCGGCAGCUCAGGUUCCCCCGAGGGCCGCUCGGUGCCCACACGGCCUCUCACGCGUGGGACCGAGCUCCCCUCUUUCCCCGAGGGGAGCUCCGUGACCUCUGAGUGCCGCCCCCCGGCCUCAGCCGCUGACCACACACCGGCACUCCCCAUGAAAAAGAGGGUCCGUUCCCUCCUCCCCCCCCCCGGCACGGCAAAAUGCACACAUACGUGUGUCUUUCCCAGCCG